GGCGAACGCUGGCGGCGUGCUUAACACAUGCAAGUCGAACGGUGAAGCUCCAGCUUGCUGGAGUGGAUCAGUGGCGAACGGGUGAGUAACACGUGAGCAACCUGCCCCUGACUCUGGAAUAAGCGCUGGAAACGGCGUCUAAUACUGGAUACGAGAAGGGUCCGCAUGGGCACUUUCUGGAAAGUUUUUCGGUUGGGGAUGGGCUCGCGGCCUAUCAGCUUGUUGGUGAGGUAAUGGCUCACCAAGGCGACGACGGGUAGCCGGCCUGAGAGGGCGACCGGCCAAACUGGGACUGAGACACGGCCCAGACUCCUACGGGAGGCAGCAGUGGGGAAUAUUGCACAAUGGGCGAAAGCCUGAUGCAGCGACGCCGCGUGAGGGAUGACGGCCUUCGGGUUGUAAACCUCUUUCAGCAGGGAAGAAGCGAAAGUGACGGUACCUGCAGAAGAAGCACCGGCUAACUACGUG
rnacentral:rRNA from 1 species